AGUGAACGCUGGCGGUAGGCCUAACACAUGCAAGUCGAACGGCAGCACAGUAAGAGCUCGCUCUUACGGGUGGCGAGUGGCGGACGGGUGAGGAAUACAUCGGAAUCUACUUUUUCGUGGGGGAUAACGUAGGGAAACUUACGCUAAUACCGCAUACGACCUACGGGUGAAAGCAGGGGAUCUUCGGACCUUGCGCGAUUGAAUGAGCCGAUGUCGGAUUAGCUAGUUGGCGGGGUAAAGGCCCACCAAGGCGACGAUCCGUAGCUGGUCUGAGAGGAUGAUCAGCCACACUGGAACUGAGACACGGUCCAGACUCCUACGGGAGGCAGCAGUGGGGUAUAUUGGACAAUGGGCGCAAGCCUGAUCCAGCCAUACCGCGUGGGUGAAGAAGGCCUUCGGGUUGUAAAGCCCUUUUGUUGGGAAAGAAAAGCAGCAGGUUAAUACCCCGCUGUUCUGACGGUACCCAAAGAAUAAGCACCGGCUAACUUCGUG
rnacentral:rRNA from 1 species